UGUGCCCCAGGCUUCAGUGCAGAAUAAAUCACUUUACACUGAGGGAAGGAUCACUAGCAUGUCACUCCCCAACCUUCUGUGGGCACUCACUGCCCUCACCUACCUUGGACCUGGUACGGCAGAGACAGUCACUCAGACCCCAUCAGUGAUAUCUGUGCAGGAGGGGAAGGCUGUGACUCUCAACUGCAAGUAUUCCAUCAGUGUCACUGCUUAUUAUUUGCACUGGUACAAACAGGCUCCUAGUGGGGAAAUGAUUUUCCUUAUUUAUCAGGAUUCUUACAGCACAAAGAAUGCAAGAAAAGAACGAUAUUCUGUGAACUUCCAGAAAGCAGACAGCUCCAUCAGUCUAAAGAUCUCUGACUUACAGCUGGAGGAUUCCUCUGUGUAUUUCUGUGCUCUGGAUGAGCCACGGCACAGGAGGAGUCCAGGUGCAGACAGGGAGGCAGAGCAUGGAGGUCAGCACAUGGUGAGCAGACCAGAGGCGGGGUGUGGAAAAUCUACGGGGAGGACUCUACCACAGUGUUGGCUACUCUGCUCUGGUUGCAAGCCAGAAGAUCAGCAGAGACGUUAUAAAACAUACAACACAAACACAAAAGGUAAAGAGUGA